rnacentral:rRNA from 1 species
CCUACGGGAGGCUGCAGUAGGGAAUAUUGCUCAAUGGGGGAAACCCUGAAGCAGCAACGCCGCGUGGGGGAUGAAGGUUUUCGGUUUGUAAACUCCUUUUGUUAGGGAAGAUAAUGACGGUAUCUAACGAAUAAGCACCGGCUAACUCCGUGCCAGCAGCCGCGGUAAUACGGAGGGUGCAAGCGUUACUCGGAAUCACUGGGCGUAAAGAGCGCGUAGGCGGGAUAGCAAGUCAGAUGUGAAAUCCUAGGGCUUAACCAUAGAACUGCAUUUGAAACUGUUAUUCUAGAGUAUGGGAGAGGUAGGUGGAAUUCUUGGUGUAGGGGUAAAAUCCGUAGAGAUUAAGAGGAAUACUCAUUGCGAAGGCGACCUGCUAGAACAUAACUGACGCUGAUGCGCGAAAGCGUGGGGAGCAAACAGGAUUAGAUACCCGGGUAGUC